UUCUUGCAUUAGGAGGUUUGGAUGUGGCUGAGUAAGCAACCUUAAUGUUUGGAAGCAAAAGGGAGCAAGAAGAAAGCUUAAGGAUACAAGGU